CACGUAGGCGGUUCGUCGCGUCCGGUGUGAAAGUCCAUCGCCUAACGGUGGAUCUGCGCCGGGUACGGGCGGGCUUGAGUGCGGUAGGGGAGACUGGAAUUCCCGGUGUAACGGUGGAAUGUGUAGAUAUCGGGAAGAACACCAAUGGCGAAGGCAGGUCUCUGGGCCGUCACUGACGCUGAGGAGCGAAAGCGUGGGGAGCGAACA
rnacentral:rRNA from 1 species